GGUAUAGUGUAGUUGGUUAACGCGCCAGAUUGUGGUUCUGGAUACCGAGGGUUCGAGUCCCCUCU
rnacentral:tRNA from 1 species